GACGAACGCUGGCGGCGCGCCUAACACAUGCCAGUCGAACGAGCGAGCGAGAGCUUGCUUUCUUGAGCGAGUGGCGAACGGGUGAGUAACGCGUGAGGAACCUGCCUCAAAGAGGGGGACAACAGUUGGAAACGACUGCUAAUACCGCAUAAGCCCACGACCCGGCAUCGGGUUGAGGGAAAAGGAGCCAUCCGCUUUGAGAUGGCCUCGCGUCCGAUUAGCUAGUUGGUGAGGUAACGGCCCACCAAGGCGACGAUCGGUAGCCGGACUGAGAGGUUGAACGGCCACAUUGGGACUGAGACACGGCCCAGACUCCUACGGGAGGCAGCAGUGGGGAAUAUUGCACAAUGGGGGAAACCCUGAUGCAGCGACGCCGCGUGGAGGAAGAAGGUCUUCGGAUUGUAAACUCCUGUUGUUGAGGAAGAUAAUGACGGUACUCAACAAGGAAGUGACGGCUAACUACGUG
rnacentral:rRNA from 1 species